rnacentral:lncRNA from 10 species
UAAAGAGUCCAUUUUGCCUACUGUCAUAGGACUUGAAAAUGAUCAUUCCCCACUCCCCAGCAAGACACAAGCAGGGGGAAUCUUUCUAAAGAGAAACUCUAACAUUUAUCCCAAGGCAGAAAAGAUGAUCACCACGGCACCAAACCUCCUCCGCUGCUCUGACAAAUACAGAGCCAGCCUCAUCUGGAGCAUUUCUGCCCUGAGCUCGCUCUCAGAAGCAGACAGAGGAACACACUGCAUUUCCACUGUGCUGAUUCACUGAACCUUUUGUGCAAGUACACGGGAAUGUUUGCUUCUUAGCUUGAAACCCUUCCAGCCGUGAUGACUGUGCCUCAGCCUGCCCUUUGUCCUCGCAGCUGCUGUCACGCGUGUGACACAAGAGAACACUGAUGCAGCCCUGGCCAUCAAUGGGCAUCAAGCCAGGCACUUCAUAUGCAUCCCCUUCAUUUCAUUCUCACAACAAAUCUGUGGCAGAUGAAAGCAUCGAGGCUCCAAAAGGUUACUAAUAAUCUGUCUGUGCUCAACCCUGGGAUGGGGCAGAGACUAGGUUUCCCCAGUGUCCUCAUGCCUAGUGGCUAGCUUAGCUGGCCUCAUAGAAUUGGCUCUUCAAAAACUCUUUGAUUAAAGUUUUUCUUCCCUAAAGAUUUCAACCGCAAUAUGCGAUAUGGUUACUCUAUAUGCUAGUUCUCCCUCAGACCCUCCCAGUGUUAUUUUCUCAAUUAACACUGAAAACAUAAACUCCAUGAGAGCAGGGACUAUCUCUAGCAGUGCUCUAUUUUUAGCACUUGAGGGGAAGAAAGCUUGGCAGAGUAGGUAUUCAUUUGCACAUAUUCAUUAUGCAUUUGUUGAAUGAAUAAAAUAUCCGGAAAACUGGGGCUGUUAAUGACAGUCAAUUUGGAAAACAGCAUGACCUGCAGAAGACCUGAAUGAUGUACUUGUUUUGCUCAUUUUCCUCAAAUUCAGUAGGUAAUUAUUCAUCUCCUAGCCUAAGUAGCAC